CGCCUGUGUGACCUCAGCUCCAACCCUGCCACCAUCUUGCCUGACUGACUGCUGCAAAAUGCCGCAUGGACUAGGUGAACGCCUACACCACCUGCUGAUCAAUUAUAGUUACUGCAUCUGGAGUAGAAAUCAGAUUCCUGUGUUCCUGAGAGGUGAGCAAGCGCCUGCUUCAUAUUCCUGUCAUGGGGCCACCUGCUACCACCCCCCCCACGAUUGACUGUAUCCUAAAAACUGCGAGCCAAACAAGCCCUUCCUCCCAUGAGAUGCUUCUAAUCAGGUUCGGGAUUUAUAAGCAUCUGUUUUCCAGCCAUCACUUCAUUGCCAAAGAUAAUGACCCCAUGGAGCUCUUUUCCCCAGGGCAGCUCCCAUGACUCGGAGUAGAGAUUAGAAAGAUAUUCCUGGUGCUACCACACCCAGAUCGGGUAGUGCUGGAGACCAAACUUGGGGUUCCGUAGAUGGUAAGAUAAUAUCUCCAGACCCUGAAAAUAAAGUUCUUAACAUUGAGCCAAGCUCAGAAACAUGCAUCU
rnacentral:lncRNA from 1 species